rnacentral:rRNA from 1 species
AAUUUUGGACAAUGGGGGAAACCCUGAUCCAGCCAUCCCGCGUGUAUGAUGAAGGACUUCGGGUUGUAAUGUACUUUUGGCAGAGAAGAAAAGGUAUCUCCUAAUACGAGAUACUGCUGACGGUAUCUGCAGAAUAAGCACCGGCUAACUACGUGCCAGCAGACGCGGUAAUACGUAGGGUGCAAGCGUUAAUCGGAAUUACUGGGCGUAAAGAGUGUUGAGUCGGAUCGGAAAGAAAGAUGUGAAAUACCAAGGAUAAAACUAGGAACUGCAUUUUUAACUGCCGAGCUAGAGUAUGUCAAAGGGGGGUAGAAUUCCACGUGUAGCAGUGAAAUGCGUAGAUAUGUGGAGGAAUACCGAUGGCGAAGGCAGCCCCCUGGGAUAAUACUGACGCUCAGACACGAAAGCGUGGGGAGCAAACA